rnacentral:rRNA from 1 species
CGGGGGGCGGGCCUACACAUGCAGUCGAGCGGUAGCACAGAGAGCUUGCUCUCGGGUGACGAGCGGCGGACGGGUGAGUAAUGUCUGGGAAACUGCCUGAUGGAGGGGGAUAACUACUGGAAACGGUAGCUAAUACCGCAUAACGUCGCAAGACCAAAGUGGGGGACCUUCGGGCCUCAUGCCAUCAGAUGUGCCCAGAUGGGAUUAGCUAGUAGGUGGGGUAAUGGCUCACCUAGGCGACGAUCCCUAGCUGGUCUGAGAGGAUGACCAGCCACACUGGAACUGAGACACGGUCCAGACUCCUACGGGAGGCAGCAGUGGGGAAUAUUGCACAAUGGGCGCAAGCCUGAUGCAGCCAUGCCGCGUGUAUGAAGAAGGCCUUCGGGUUGUAAAGUACUUUCAGCGAGGAGGAAGGCAUUAAGGUUAAUAACCUUGGUGAUUGACGUUACUCGCAGAAGAAGCACCGGCUAACUCCGUGCCAGCAGCCGCGGUAAUACGGAGGGUGCAAGCGUUAAUCGGAAUUACUGGGCGUAAAGCGCACGCAGGCGGUCUGUCAAGUCGGAUGUGAAAUCCCCGGGCUCAACCUGGGAACUGCAUUCGAAACUGGCAGGCUAGAGUCUUGUAGAGGGGGGUAGAAUUCCAGGUGUAGCGGUGAAAUGCGUAGAGAUCUGGAGGAAUACCGGUGGCGAAGGCGGCCCCCUGGACAAAGACUGACGCUCAGGUGCGAAAGCGUGGGGAGCAAACAGGAUUAGAUACCCUGGUAGUCCACGCCGUAAACGAUGUCGACUUGGAGGUUGUGCCCUUGAGGCGUGGCUUCCGGAGCUAACGCGUUAAGUCGACCGCCUGGGGAGUACGGCCGCAAGGUUAAAACUCAAAUGAAUUGACGGGGGCCCGCACAAGCGGUGGAGCAUGUGGUUUAAUUCGAUGCAACGCGAAGAACCUUACCUACUCUUGACAUCCAGAGAACUUAGCAGAGAUGCUUUGGUGCCUUCGGGAACUCUGAGACAGGUGCUGCAUGGCUGUCGUCAGCUCGUGUUGUGAAAUGUUGGGUUAAGUCCCGCAACGAGCGCAACCCUUAUCCUUUGUUGCCAGCGGUUCGGCCGGGAACUCAAAGGAGACUGCCAGUGAUAAACUGGAGGAAGGUGGGGAUGACGUCAAGUCAUCAUGGCCCUUACGAGUAGGGCUACACACGUGCUACAAUGGCAUAUACAAAGAGAAGCGACCUCGCGAGAGCAAGCGGACCUCAUAAAGUAUGUCGUAGUCCGGAUUGGAGUCUGCAACUCGACUCCAUGAAGUCGGAAUCGCUAGUAAUCGUAGAUCAGAAUGCUACGGUGAAUACGUUCCCGGGCCUUGUACACACCGCCCGUCACACCAUGGGAGUGGGUUGCAAAAGAAGUAGGUAGCUUAACCUUCGGGAGGGCGCUUACCACUUGGAUUACC